rnacentral:rRNA from 1 species
CACGUAGGGCGCAAGCGUUGUCCGGAAUUAUUGGGCGUAAAGAGCUCGUAGGCGGCUUGUCGCGUCGGCUGUGAAAACCUGGGGCUCAACCCCGGGCCUGCAGCCGAUACGGGCAAGCUAGAAUUCGGUAGGGGAGACUGGAAUUCCUGGUGUAGCGGUGAAAUGCGCAGAUAUCAGGAGGAACACCGGUGGCGAAGGCGGGUCUCUGGGCCGAUAUUGACGCUGAGGAGCGAAAGCGUGGGGAGCGAACAGG